rnacentral:rRNA from 1 species
CCUACGGGUGGCAGCAGUCGAGAAUCAUUCACAAUGGGGGAAACCCUGAUGGUGCGACGCCGCGUGGGGGAAUGAAGGUCUUCGGAUUGUAAACCCCUGUCAUGUGGGAGCAAAUUAAAAAGAUAGUACCACAAGAGGAAGAGACGGCUAACUAUGUUCCAGCAGCCGCGGUAAUACAGAGGUCUCAAGCGUUGUUCGGAAUCACUGGUCGUAAAGCGUGCGUAGGCGGGUUCGUAAGUCGGGUGUGAAAGGCGAGGGCUCAACCCGCGGACGGCACAUGAUACUGCGAGACUAGAGUAAAGGAGGGGGAACCGGAAUUCUCGGUGUAGCAGUGAAAUGCGUAGAUAUCGAGAGGAACACUCGUGGCGAAGGCGGGUUCCUGAACAUUAACUGACGCUGAGGCACGAAGGCCAGGGGAGCGAAAGGGAUUAGAUACCCUUGUAGUC